CUUCAAUUUCUAAAUCGUUAUUAUUGCUUCAGACUUCAUGAAAACAUAGAAUAUCACAUUCAAUCUCAAUAUAAUAGUUAAAUAAUCAAAUAAUCUGCGUUAAGUACGCUUAAAUAGUAAUAAAUAUCAAUAGAAUAUCAAUAUAUUGCCAAAUAUAAAUGUGGAAACCCCCUAGUUUAAAAUAACAUUGAAUCAGAAUCCAGGAAAUAUCAGUCACGGAUUUCACCGUUUUAUGACGAAAUA
rnacentral:lncRNA from 1 species